rnacentral:rRNA from 1 species
GACGAACGCUGGCGGCGUGCUUAACACAUGCAAGUCGAACGGGUCUGCCCUGUUUUUUGCGGGGUGGGUCAGUGGCGAGCGGGUGAGUAACACGUGAGUAACCUGCCCCUCACUUCUGGAUAACCGCUUGAAAGGGUGGCUAAUACGGGGUGUUCUGGCUGUGCCGCAUGGUGUGGCUGGGAAAGAUUCACUUUUGUGGUGUUUUGGUGGGGGAUGGGCUCGCGGCCUAUCAGCUUGUUGGUGGGGUGAUGGCCUGCCAAGGCUUUGACGGGUAGCCGGCCUGAGAGGGUGGGCGGUCACACUGGGACUGAGAUACGGCCCAGACUCCUGCGGGAGGCAGCAGUGGGGGGUAUUGCACAAUGGGCGGAAGCCUGAUGCAGCGACGUCGCGUGAGGGAUGGAGGCCUUCGGGUUGUGAACCUCUUUCGCCGGUGAAGAAGGUCCUGCUCUUUGUGGUGGGGUUGACGGUAGCCGGGUUAUGAAGCGCCGGCUAACUACGUG